GUUUGUUUGUUUGUUUAGAUAAGGAAGGAGGAGGAGGUGGGGGGGGGUGCCAAGGGACAGAGACAUAGAGGGCCCUCUGACCCCAUCCAGACCCAGAGUUCCUGCCUCUGGCUGUGACUGACAGAUAGCAUCAGUGUAUCAUGGCUUCUUAUCAGCCAGGCCUGCCUGCUCCCUCUGAUCUGGAAUCAGCCCCCGCAGCCGGAGAGGGCGGCUCUAUGUUGCCUGCAAGUCAUUGGGUGUAUUUCUUGGAGGGGGUGAGCUCAUGCUUCCAACAUAAAGACGCAUUGAGUGAAGUGGGACCGAGGGCCAAGUCUGGAGUGUGAUUGUGCUGCAGAGGCACUCAUCCAAACUCAGUGGGUCUCUAGUGGAGACAACGGGGAUGUCAUUUUGUUUGGCCGGCGUUCAUUUGGACUCUUCGACUCGCUCGCCAACGUUGACGUCCCAAAAAUUCAUAACCGGAAUCCCUCUUGCAUCCUUUAAGCUUCUUCCGCAACACAACGGCCGCUGUAGCGCCAUGCAAUAUCCGCUCGGCUUAUGGUACACAAUAUUGUUUCUAUAUUGCCUAUAUUGCGAUAUGAAAAGGAUUUUUGUGGUGGCUUAUCCCCAAAAAAAAAAAAAAAAAAUUUAAUUAAGUUAUAAGAUGAACACAAAAAAAUGGACAGAUUCCGAUGCUCUUGCAAAGUAAACAUUUACAGUGGAAGUCAUUUUACUGUACUUUUUAUGUACUCUGAUACAAAAGUGGUAAGAGAUUUCUCUGCGACGGUUAGCGAGCUAGCUCUCGGGGUAUAAUAGCGGUACUCCACAGUCUCCGCUUUGCAGGCGCGUGUGUUUUCAGCUCGUCUCGCCCACUCCCAUGACGUCAUCGGCCAAUUUGACUUGCGGCUUCUUCCAUUAAUUCAUGCCUUGAUGACGAAAGCCGCAUAAAAUGCGCACGUUUGCGGGGAAGAAAUACGACGCAUCGGCGUGCGCGUACAGACAUGUCGUCAACCCGCAUAAACCGCGUGUGCUGUUUUCAAGUCGCGCGAAAACACGAGGGAAAAAAAAUACAGAUGCAAUAAAAGCCACAAUUUUUUCUAUGACUCAGUGAUGUAAUAUAAGCCUCAACCAAAGAUUAAUGACCGGCAACAAGGAGUUUUUGUUUUCGUGGCAUUUUGGUUACAGUGUGGGUGGGAAGAAAACUUUUGGGGGCCAUUUUUGUUGAACUCUUUCCGUGUAUUUUUUCAUUUCAAAAUUCGAAAUAGAUUGUUCACCAAAUUUGUGAAUUUUUGUCUGAGAGGAGAACAUUAAAGUCAGCUGUAAAGUGGACCAUUCCAGCAAAGUGGAGACUGUAGAGAAUAAUAGGCAAAGUACUGUACUACUUAUUUGAUUCCAAGUUUUUUAUGAGAGAGAAAGAAAGUGGAGACUGAAGUGCAGUAAUCCCCAGUAGGACUAAUUACUUCAAAGAAUGGAAUCUCCUGUAUUUGUGUACUUCUUUGAAAGUAAGCAAAAUGUAUUGAGCAGAACACUAAGGGCAAUGAGAAAGUGGACUGUUGCAGCAAAGUGGAGACUGUGGUGUAUAAUACCUUUUAACACUAAUAAUUGGAUUCCAG